GACGAACGCUGGCGGCGUGCUUAACACAUGCAAGUCGAACGUGAAUUUUAUGGAAUAGCCUUCGGGAUAGGAAAUAGAAUGAAAGUGGCGAACGGGUGAGUAACACGUGAGCAACCUACCUUACACAGGGGGAUAGCCGUUGGAAACGACGAUUAAUACCGCAUGAGACCACAGAACCGCAUGGUAAAGGGGUCAAAGAUUUAUCGGUGUAAGAUGGGCUCGCGUCUGAUUAGCUAGUUGGAAGGGUAAAGGCCUACCAAGGCGACGAUCAGUAGCCGGUCUGAGAGGAUGAACGGCCACAUUGGAACUGAGACACGGUCCAAACUCCUACGGGAGGCAGCAGUGGGGAAUAUUGCACAAUGGGGGAAACCCUGAUGCAGCGACGCCGCGUGAGCGAAGAAGGUUUUCGAAUCGUAAAGCUCUGUCCUAUGAGAAGAUAAUGACGGUAUCAUAGGAGGAAGCCCCGGCUAAAUACGUGCCAGCAGCCGCGGUAAUACGUAUGGGGCGAGCGUUGUCCGGAAUUACUGGGCGUAAAGAGCUCGUAGGUGGUUUGUCGCGUCGUCUGUGAAAUUCCGGGGCUUAACUCCGGGCGUGCAGGCGAUACGGGCUGACUUGAGUGCUGUAGGGGAGACUGGAAUUCCUGGUGUAGCGGUGAAAUGCGCAGAUAUCAGGAGGAACACCGAUGGCGAAGGCAGGUCUCUGGGCAGUAACUGACGCUGAGGAGCGAAAGCAUGGGUAGCGAACAGGAUUAGAUACCCUGGUAGUCCAUGCCGUAAACGGUGGGCGCUAGGUGUAGGGGGCUUCCACGUCUUCUGUGCCGUAGCUAACGCAUUAAGCGCCCCGCCUGGGGAGUACGGCCGCAAGGCUAAAACUCAAAGGAAUUGACGGGGGCCCGCACAAGCGGCGGAGCAUGUGGAUUAAUUCGAUGCAACGCGAAGAACCUUACCUGGGCUUGACAUAUACAAGACAGGCGUAGAGAUACGUCCUCCCUUGUGGUUUGUAUACAGGUGGUGCAUGGUUGUCGUCAGCUCGUGUCGUGAGAUGUUGGGUUAAGUCCCGCAACGAGCGCAACCCUUGUCUUAUGUUGCCAGCAUUUGGUUGGGGACUCAUGAGAGACUGCCGGAGUCAACUCGGAGGAAGGUGGGGAUGACGUCAAAUCAUCAUGCCCCUUAUGUCCAGGGCUUCACACAUGCUACAAUGGUCGGUACAACGCGCAGCGACACUGUGAGGUGGAGCGAAUCGCUGAAAGCCGGCCUUAGUUCGGAUUGGGGUCUGCAACUCGACCCCAUGAAGUCGGAGUCGCUAGUAAUCGCAGAUCAGCAACGCUGCGGUGAAUACGUUCCCGGGCCU
rnacentral:rRNA from 1 species